GAUAAAUUAGCUUUAAAAAAAAGCAUAAUCGUGCUACGAUUCACUAUGAAAGUUAAAAUCUUCCCUUUAUCG
rnacentral:tRNA from 1 species